rnacentral:rRNA from 1 species
UGAGGAAUAUUGGUCAAUGGGCGGGAGCCUGAACCAGCCAAGCCGCGUGAGGGAAGAAGGCCCUAUGGGUCGUAAACCUCUUUUGUCAGGGAACAAAAGCGAGUAUGUAUACUGGUCUGAGUGUACCUGAAGAAAAACGCAUCGGCUAACUCCGUGCCAGCAGCCGCGGUAAUACGGAGGAUGCGAGCGUUAUCCGGAUUUAUUGGGUUUAAAGGGUGCGUAGGCGGCGGUGCAAGUCAGCGGUAAAAGCCCGGGGCUCAACCCCGGCGAGCCGUUGAAACUGCAGUGCUAGAGAAGGCGAGAGGUACGCGGAAUGCGCAGUGUAGCGGUGAAAUGCUUAGAUAUUGCGCAGAACUCCGAUUGCGAAGGCAGCGUACUGGCGCCUGACUGACACUGAGGCACGAAAGCGUGGGGAUCGAACAGGAUUAAUACC